rnacentral:rRNA from 1 species
UACGUAGGGGGCUAGCGUUGUCCGGAAUCAUUGGGCGUAAAGAGCGUGUAGGCGGCCCGGUAAGUCCGCUGUGAAAGUCGGGGGGCUCAACCCUCGAAUGCCGGUGGAUACUGUCGGGCUAGAGUGCGGAAGAGGCGAGUGGAAUUCCUGGUGUAGCGGUGAAAUGCGCAGAUAUCAGGAGGAAUACCAGCGGCGAAGGCGGCGCUCUGGGCCGGUACUGACGCUGAGGAGCGAAAGCGUGGGGAGCAAACAGG